GAGCCUAACUUUUGGGAUGAUUUUAAUUAAAAUUAAUGCUCCAUGUCCAGCAAUUGAUUGUGUUCCGUAAAAACCAAGAACGACAAAGUAAACUUUUUCUUCUACUCAGUUUGUCAGUUACUUGAUGGGAAAAUCUGAGCAGAUCUCAUUGGUUUUGCUAGUUAAUGAUACGGUCUGUUAUAAGCGAAUGAAGCCCCUCUUUCGUUAUACCACAUCGCUAGUUGAAAUUCCCAAUUAACCAUUUAAAAGGCUAUCUACAGAAACCAUUGGGCACGACCUUACUUGAACAGGAUCUGUUCUAUAGGCUCGUACCACUGUAUCCUUGAGUUCUAAGGAGACAGAAAACCAAGUCUGGUUGAUGAAGUGUGGCCAUGAGACUAGAGCGUGAUUGACAGCUUUGGUGGCUCUUGGGCCUCUGCGCAGUAGAGGAUCGUUCUCAGGCCUCUCGUAGGUCUGGGGUGGUGUCUUGGCUCUCUGACAGACUACUAAACUUUUUGUUUUUGCUUUCACAAUUUACAAUUCAUCUCCGGUACACUUCCGUUUUGUUUUAUAUUUUAUUUUAUCAUAUAUGGUUACACUCAAAAUGCAAGAUGUGUUAAUGGAUGUGAUAUCCCUUGGAACCCAUGUUGAUCAAAACCUCUGUUUGAUUCUGUUGGUUUCAUUGGUUUUCUUUGGUCAAAACCUCUGUGAUAUCCCUUGGAACCUGUACUUUGUUGAUACUACUUGAUUAUAAAGGCCAAAGACUUUAUUUAGUUCAUUGUAGACAAUGUGUUCGACCAAUGUUCACAAAGACUAUUACAGAGUGAAAUUUAACGACUGAAAGCUGAAGGAUGGCUUUUGUUCUUGUCCUCUGCUUUGGGAAGUCUGGGAAUAUUGAUGGCAAGUUAUAGCUACGGACUCUUUCAUUGUCUCAGGCCCACAAACGAAGACACCAAUGUUGGAUCCCUUGGAUUCAUUAGCAAACUGGGAAAAUAUAUCUGUUUAAUUUUCGACAUAUUAGAAUGCCAAUCGAUUGGAUUGUUUGAAGUUAAAACAAGGACAUGAAUGUAUUUGGCACAUACCUUUAAAGUUUGGCCUUGCUCCAAAAUGGAUUUCAUGUUGAUCAAAACCUCUGUUUGAUUCUGUUGGUUUCAUUGGUUUUCUUUCUUUUUCAGAAAAUGGUGGAAUUUCUUCACUUAGCCUCUUCCAUCUCCAUAAGGUAGCCACUAAGGUGCUGGAUAUUAGUGCUAAUGCAAAUGAGCAUAUGAGAAGAAGGUCCACUAUUGAGGAGGCAGUUUUUUG
rnacentral:lncRNA from 1 species